AUGGCGUCGUCACGGCCGGAGACGGCGGGGGGAGCGCCGUGGAGCAAGCUGCAGGGGCAGGUGGUGCUGGUGACGGGCGCCUCCUCCGGCCUCGGCCGUGAGUUCUGCCUCGACCUGGCGCGCGCGGGCUGCCGGGUCGUCGGCGCGGCGCGCCGCGCCGACCGUCUCCGCUCCCUCUGCGACGAGAUCAACGCGGCCGCCCAAGUCCCCCUGGCGGUGGCCGUCGGGCUGGACGUCGCUGCAGGCGAGUCGUCCGUCGAGGCGGCGGUGCGGACGGCGUGGGACGCCUUCGGCCGUGUCGACGUCUUGAUUAACAACGCCGGAGUCCGAGGAGGUGUGCAUUUGGCGUUGGAUUGCUCGGAGGACGAGUGGGAUAAACUCAUGAAGACCAACCUUAGGGGAGUAUGGCUCGUGGCCAAGCAUGUGUGCAGACGCAUGCGUGACGCCAAGCUGAAGGGCUCAGUAAUAAACAUUUCGUCCACUUCCGGUCUUGAUGGUGGGAUGACACAUGGCUCCGUGGCUUACUCGGCGUCCAAGUCUGCCGUGCACUCCGUCACAAAGGUAAUGGCAUUGGAAUUAGGAGCACAUGGCAUUCGGGUGAACACGAUUGCGCCCGGAAUCUUCAAGUCGGAGAUAACUGCUCCCUUACUGCAAAAGAGAUGGGUGAACGAUGUCUUUUCAAAGAUCCUGCCACUCAAGACAAUCGGCACUCCUGACCCAGCGUUGACGUCGCUGGUUCGUUUCCUGAUCCAUGAAACAUCAUCAUAUAUAAGUGGUAACAUCUUUGUUGUAGAUUCAGGCCUCAUCCUACCUGGUGUCCCUAUAUUCUCAUCUCUGUAA
rnacentral:rRNA from 1 species